AGAAAGCUAGUCUAACUAAGACAGUUGACUUCGACUCAACAGAUUAUAGCUAACACCCUAUAGCUUUCUU
rnacentral:tRNA from 1 species